rnacentral:rRNA from 1 species
GACGAACCGUGCGAACGUUGUUCGGAAUCACUGGGCUUAAAGGGCGCGUAGGCGGGUGUGCAAGUCUGUGGUGAAAGCCUCCAGCUUAACUGGAGAAGUGCCGUGGAUACUGCACAUCUUGAGGAGGGUAGGGGCAUCUGGAACGGUCGGUGGAGCGGUGAAAUGCGUUGAUAUCGAUAGGAACUCCGGUGGCGAAGGCGGCAUACUGGACCACAUCUGACGCUGAGGCGCGAAAGCCAGGGGAGCGAACGGG